CCUACGGGUGGCAGCAGUGGGGAAUAUUGGACAAUGGGGGGAACCCUGAUCCAGCCAUGCCGCGUGUGUGAAGAAGGCCCUCGGGUUGUAAAGCACUUUCAGUGAGGAAGAACGCCUGGUGGUUAAUACCCAUCAGGAAAGACAUCACUCACAGAAGAAGCACCGGCUAACUCCGUGCCAGCAGCCGCGGUAAUACGGAGGGUGCGAGCGUUAAUCGGAAUUACUGGGCGUAAAGCGCGCGUAGGUGGCUUGAUAAGCCGGUUGUGAAAGCCCCGGGCUCAACCUGGGAACGGCAUCCGGAACUGUCAAGCUAGAGUGCAGGAGAGGAAGGUAGAAUUCCCGGUGUAGCGGUGAAAUGCGUAGAGAUCGGGAGGAAUACCAGUGGCGAAGGCGGCCUUCUGGACUGACACUGACACUGAGGUGCGAAAGCGUGGGUAGUAAACAGGAUUAGAUACCCCAGUAGUC
rnacentral:rRNA from 1 species